UUUGCCACUGCGUGGGUGCAU
rnacentral:siRNA from 1 species